rnacentral:rRNA from 1 species
GAUGAACGCUGGCGGCGUGCUUAACACAUGCAAGUCGAGCGAAGCGUGUCUGCGGAAGUUUUUGGAUGGAAGCGGAUAUGACUUAGCGGCGGACGGGUGAAUAACGCGUGGGUAACCUGCCUCAUACAGGGGGAUAACAGUUAGAAAUGACUGCUAAUACCGCAUAAGCGCACGGAGACGCAUGUCCUUGUGUGAAAAACUCCGGUGGUAUGAGAUGGACCCGCGUCUGAUUAGCUGGUUGGCGGGGUAACGGCCCACCAAGGCGACGAUCAGUAGCCGACCUGAGAGGGUGGCCGGCCACAUUGGGACUGAGACACGGCCCAAACUCCUACGGGAGGCAGCAGUGGGGAAUAUUGCACAAUGGGGGAAACCCUGAUGCAGCAACGCCGCGUGAGUGAAGAAGUAUUUCGGUAUGUAAAGCUCUAUCAGCAGGGAAGAGAAUGACGGUACCUGACUAAGAAGCCCCGGCUAACUACGUGCCAGCAGCCGCGGUAAUACGUAGGGGGCAAGCGUUAUC